GCCCCACCUCUGUGCGUGCAGAGCAGGGAAAGGACAGGGAUGUGAGCCCUGGAUGAGGAUCAAGGCAAGAGGGAGGGGGAAGAACACAGUAGCCAGAGUUUUAUUUAGAUGUUUAGGGAACCAAGGUGCUCUUUUGAGUCUCCUUUUCUGAUUUCGACCCCCAUAAGGGGUACAUUUUAUGUCGUGACCUUUUACAUAAACACAUUAUAUAAGUAUAAUGGAAAAGAACAUUUCAUAAAACAUCACUCCAUGUGAUGCACUCUGAUAUUUUCUAUUCUAUUCCAUUUUAAUCAUUUUUAAUGGCAGUCUCAAAUCACUAACUGUAUUUCACUAAUAUUCACUAAUGAGUGCAGUUUGCAAAACUAGACAGUGCCACAGAGAUACUUUUUUAGAUUAAUGCUUUCCAAAGGGUUUUUUUUUUUUUUUUUUUUUUGUAUUCUGCAGAAUAUAUAUGUUAUACCUUAUAAAAACUUAAACGGCAGGGGUUCUGUGGGUCAAGUUUGGAGAAUACAGCACAGUUAAACAGAUUGGGGGAGGGGCAGUAGGACUUAUCAGAGCCUUCGAUGCUAAUGUGCACUGAGAUUUUGUGAGACAGGAAGAGAGCGCGCAGUGUUUCCCAGGCUGACUGGACGCAGCCCUGCGGACUCACGGAACAUUCGUGGGAAAAGCUGCUGCAGGAUGUGUCCUGGUCAGGAAGCAGCACUUCAUGUGUUAUCACCUCCAGAACUUCGGCUGACGGGUUGCUGGCUGCCCCCAGGUUUGCGGUGUGGCCUCUGUCUACACUGUGGACCCGUAAGUAGCAAACGCUCAACCCAGACGGGUGGCUGCUAGAGAGGAGCCUCCCACUUCAUUACCAGUGAGUCUGUCUUUACCGUCACCGGUUAGAAGAUUUCCAACUUGCUCUAAGGAUGCUUCGGGGCCCCUUAUCUACUGGCACCCAUGGGAGCCAGCCGUGCUCUCGCAGCGGGGGCCCUGGGUGAGUUGGGACUGACGGAGGCCCAGUCACCUAAGGCUCUGCAUUGGCCUCAGCCCUGGGAGCUGUGGGGCUCCAGGAGGAGUGAGACCCCCUCCCUGCUGUCCAGGAGUUCACAUCCUGCUAGAAACCAGAGCUGUGGGAGGCAGAGAGCGCUGGUGCCCACUGAGAGGGUGGCGGGCAGCCUUCCAGCUGGACAAGGUGGCCUUGGGCCUGAAGGGUGGACGCAGCUGGGCUCUGCGGAGCAGGCUGGGGGGAUGCGGCAGAGGGAGCACAGGAAGGCCUGCAGCCUGGGGAGGUUUUGGGGUGGUUUGGGGGACCCUCUAGGGGAAAUCUGGGCAGGCUGGGUCCUGGGGGCCUUCACUACCCGGGCUGUGUGAGUUCACGUUUUGGUCAUGUGGACUCGUUCUGAUCAAAUGACAAGAAAACAAAAUGGAUCCUUCUCUCUUUGCUGCAAGAUUAAUUAACCAAAUUCUUGAACAAAGAAGAGAUUGUGGCUACGGCAGAAGCCAAAAUCCACAAAAUCCGCAGCCCAGCAAGCCUGGACAAUGAAUUUAGGUCUCUGGGCUGCUGUUGGGAGGAGCAGCUUAUUCAGUGUAAGAACACUGGUCGGCAAAGGCUGAUCCCCCUAGGCUCAGACCCAGCUCUGCCACAUUCCAGCAAGGCAUUUAGGCUUUGAGCCUCAGUGUUCUCACCUGUGAAAUGGGUAACAUUGUGCCCUGGCACACAGUGGGCGCUCAAUCAACUGCGUUGGCUGCCUCCCCAGAUAGCAGUUGGUGUCCCUUACAGGAUCGUGACCCGUCAUGUCCACCCACCCAGACCAGCUUCCAGGAGGCCACAGGCUCCAAAGUGAUUGUCGCUUUGGGAGACAGAAGCUCUAACCUGUUUAACGAGGUACAGAAUGAGAGGGCUCGAGUGGUCUUUAGAGAACCCUGUGAGGCUCCAGAGAGCAGGGAGGUAGGUGGCUUCUUGUGCCCCUCUUAGGGGGCUUAUCCACUUUUCUGAUUCAAACUCACACCAGCUCCUGAGGAAGGAUUUAACCCACCUCCUCCAUGCCCUUCAACCUUUUAGAAAUCUGAGUCCUCCGCAAGCUCAAACAGGAACAGGAAUCGUCAUAAAAGAGCCCAGCUCCCGAAAUGGCCUCUUUCUGAACUGGAAAUGCAAUUUCAGCCCUAGGUCACCAUAGCAAAGAAAGUUGCAAUUUACCAUCAUUAAUCCUAGAAACUAAUUACUUAGCAGAACUAGUUGCUGAUUUCGACUUUUAUUAUAAUUCCUCUCCCAAGUCGUGCAUAGCACUUUCAACCCCAUCUCCAUCCCGUGACAGCCCUGGACAGGAACUGCCAGAAAUAAGUAAGUCAAUACAGGCUGCUUUUUAAAAACCACUGACCUGCUAGAAUUAAAUACCACUAUCCUCGUUCUGACAAAUGGCGCAGCUUUAUGGUUUCAUGGGAACCUCUCCUUUCCUGCCUCAGGGCACGUGGACAGCACUCUGCUGUUGCUGAAAUGGCACUCACUGUAUUAGGGGAGAACCGGUGCCCUCCUAAUGUGCAGAGUCCAUGUGCCUUUGGCCCCUGCUGACAGGGACAGGAGGACACGCAUUAGUGGCCUGGCCUGUCUGCCGUGCCCCUGGAUGCAACGCUCUAGAACAAACACUGAAAUUCUGAUCUGAAACUCCCCACGAUUCAGAAUGACCCUCUCUUCUGUGUAAUUUAUCCCUGGCUUUUAUCAACUGUGGCUCCAUCUCCAAGCUCUGGGCCGCCCUGGGACCCUGCAUGGAAGGCACGUGGGCGCAGGGGGCAUUCUCAGCCCAGGCAGCCUCGUGGGGCCUGCUCUCGUUCUGGAGUUUGGGGUCUCCUGGGACUGGGCAUGGUGGCCCACAAGCCUGGCCACACCAUCUCCCUCCCUCCCUCCCUCUCUAGGUGAGUGCUCCCGGCCCAGAUGGAAGUCAGGAAGACCUUGCACCCCGAGUCCCCCCUCAGCUGCCGGUGGCAGUCCCAGCGAGCCGUCUCCGAUUUCCCAGCACGUGACAUUUUCAGCCCAGAGCCAGGCUCUGAUGCUGCUCUGGAGUGCAGAGCGAGAAGACCCUGAGCUCCCAGGAUCCUGACAACACGGAGUGGGAUGUCAGCCAGGCGUGGACUCACAGCUCCGGGUGGGAGCCGGCAAGAAGCAGCCCUCGGCCUUCAGAGACAUCCGAGCCACAGUAGAGUGAGCUGAAGCAGGGCCUGGAGCCCUGGGGACAAGAGGGCCCCUCUGCCCCUGCCAGGUCCCCUUUGUUCCCCAGUGUGGAUUUUCUUUAUGCUGAACAGCCCAGUGAGCAGUCACCCAGUGCUGCUGUCCCUAAACUCCAUCCCUGGCUCUCACCCCUUCAGCAAUGCCCCCCCCCCUUUUUUUUUUAUGUCAUCACACAUUAUGAUCCAAAUAUAGGAGAUUCAAAUACAUUUCAAUUAUUUUGUGAAGUAACUUUAUCUCUAGGGACCCAUAGUUCCAAUUCUCUGGAAGCUUCCAUCCUUCUGAGCUCUGCUGCAUUUGAAAGCUCCUCAUUAGGUUGGCUGACCUACGUCCCUGGCUCAUUUUUACCUCAAGGGCUCAAUAGAGCAUUAUGCUAUGGAGAUAGAAUAUUCCAGAUUGGUACUGUAUUGCCAUUGAGGUCUUUCUUGACAAGAGAUGGAUGUUGAAGGACCAUUCAAGCCUCUGUUGUCUUGUUAGUUGACUUUCUGCAGUACACAGAGCAGAAGACACAAGGUGGAACCUGAAUUGAAUUGCACUGUCCUAGAUUCCGAAGUUUCUAAUUAUGAAUCCUUGUUGUGCCAAGCAGGAGAAACAGGUGAGUGGAGAACUGACUGUAUUUUAGUCUAUUGCUUUAUUUUAUAUUGCUUUAGUACACUGAACAAUUAUGAAUGGCAUAUUCUCUUUGAUUUAUUGAGAAGUGGUGUGAACAUUCUCUUUUGUCGAGGGUAAUAACUAGUUUGUUCAGAAGGAAAUCCCUGUGAAAUCUUGUAUCAUUGCUGUCGAUUUUUCUGAUCACGAAAGAGGCAAAGGGAUGAUUUAGAGGAGGAGAAUCUUUAAUUUUGAAAACAAUAACUUUUUCUGUUGCUUUGCCUUUGGUUUUAAUUUAGUGUUUUUAUAUGUUUUUAAAAAAGCAUGUGCAAACUAAUGACAUGGAAAUCGACAAUAGGGCUUCCUUGGGUAAAAUGAGAAAGAACUACAAUGGAUGAUGUAAUUUACUUAUGUUUCCUGUUGAAAAUUUUAUGGAGCUAGAAAAUUGUAACAUUUUUCAAGACUAAAAGUGUUGUACUUAAAAUCAGGAAAGCUAUAGAAUGGGACUAUCAAAAAGAUAAAAGGAGAAUUUUCUCAAGUCUUAGUCUGGUUGAUUUUGAUGCCAGUGCACACUGAUUUAUGCUGUUUUUAAAAACAGCAACUAAAACCAAUAAAAUGUGACUUUCUAGACUUUGGAUAUUGGGCUCUGUAGAUUCUUAGGUUCACAGGUCUAAGACUUUAAAAACAUGAAAAGGCAUGAAAACAAAACAGGAACCAUGACAUCCAAGUAUUUUUUUUAGCUCAUUGUUCCUACAGAUGCAUGAUUGAUUUGGAGUAGGAGAGUUCUGGCUGUAUCCAUCAUUCAUCACAUUCAUCACAGUGCAUAUACAUUAUAGUAAGAACAGUUAUAGUAGCAAAAAAUUAGUAGACAUCUAAAUUUUUCCCUGAAGUCAGAAUUGAAAUAUUCUCCUGGUUCCUAACCUCUGCUCUUAUUCAUGUGUUCAUAAGAAAAUUGGCAAUAUUUUACUUCUAACUGACUUGAUUUUCACCCUGGGAGGUUAUCUGUUGUAUUUAAAUUUUC